rnacentral:piRNA from 1 species
UCAAAAACAGUGCGUAGCUUGUCUGAUC